UGACUUAGUACUGGGCCAUGGAUAAAGC
rnacentral:piRNA from 1 species